GACUUCUGGUUUAAUGCACCUGGCCCGCGGCCCACAAGGCCUGUGAGUGCCGGCGCGCGUUUACCAUCCUUCCAGCAACGGCUACCCUUAACUGGGCGGCUGGAACUGGAUCUUUUACUUUGAAAAAAUUAGAGUGUUUAAAGCAGGCGUUUGCUCUGAAUACAUUAGCAUGGAAUAAAAAUCUAGGACUUCGGUUCUAUUUUGUUGGUUUCUAUAACUGAAGUAAUGAUUGAUAGGGAUAGUUGGGGGUGCUAGUAUUGGCCGGUCAGAGGUGUGGAUUCGGUCAAGCGAAAGCAUU
rnacentral:rRNA from 1 species